AUUGAACGAUGGCGGCAGGCCUAACACAUGCAAGUCGAGCGAGAGGCGGACGGGUGAGUAAUGUCUGGGAAAAUGCCUGAUGGAGAGGGAUAACUACUGGAAACGGUAGCUAAUACCGCAUACCAUCAGAUGUGCCCAGAUGUGAUUAGCUAGUAGGUGGGGUAACGGCUCACCUAGGCGACGAUCCCUAGCUGGUCUGAGAGGAUGACCAGCCACACUGGAACUGAGACAGCUUCCAGACUCCUACGGGAGGCAGCAGUGGGGAAUAUUGCACAAUGGUCGCACGCCUGAUGCAGCCAUGCCGCGUGUGUGAAGAAGGCCUUCGGUUUGUAAAGCACUUUCAGCUGUGAGGCGUUACCCGCAGAAGAAGCACCGGCUAACUCCGUGCCAGCAGCCGCGGUAAUUC
rnacentral:rRNA from 1 species